rnacentral:rRNA from 1 species
UGGGGAAUAUUGCACAAUGGGCGCAAGCCUGAUGCAGCGACGCCGCGUGAGGGAUGACGGCCUUCGGGUUGUAAACCUCUUUCAGUAGGGAAGAAGCGAAAGUGACGGUACCUGCAGAAGAAGCGCCGGCUAACUACGUGCCAGCAGCCGCGGUAAUACGUAGGGCGCAAGCGUUAUCCGGAAUUAUUGGGCGUAAAGAGCUCGUAGGCGGUUUGUCGCGUCUGCCGUGAACGUCCGGGGCUCAACUCCGGAUCUGCGGUGGGUACGGGCAGACUAGAGUGAUGUAGGGGAGACUGGAAUUCCUGGUGUAGCGGUGAAAUGCGCAGAUAUCAGGAGGAACACCGAUGGCGAAGGCAGGUCUCUGGGCAUUAACUGACGCUGAGGAGCGAAAGCAUGGGGAGCGAACAGG